GAUGAACGCUAGCGGCAGGCCUAAUACAUGCAAGUCGAACGGGUGGUCGCAAGACCACUAGUGGCGCACGGGUGCGUAACGCGUAACCAACCUGCCCCGAUCUGGGGGAUAGCCCGCCGAAAGGCGGAUUAAUACCGCAUAUACCCGCAGCCUGGCAUCAGGCAACGGGGAAAGAUUUAUUGGAUCGGGAUGGGGUUGCGUGACAUUAGCUAGUUGGCGGGGUAAGGGCCCGCCAAGGCGACGAUGUCUAGGGGACCUGAGAGGGUGAUCCCCCACACUGGCACUGAGAUACGGGCCAGACUCCUACGGGAGGCAGCAGUAGGGAAUAUUGGGCAAUGGGCGAGAGCCUGACCCAGCCAUGCCGCGUGCCGGAUGAAGGCCUUCUGGGUUGUAAACGGCUUUUCUCAGGGAAGAAAAAGACCUUGCGAGGUACACUAACGGUACCUGAGGAAUAAGCACCGGCUAACUCCGUG
rnacentral:rRNA from 1 species